UACGUAGGGGGCGAGCGUUGUCCGGAAUCAUUGGGCGUAAAGCGCGUGUAGGCGGCUCGGUAAGUCCGGUGUGAAACCUUGGGGCUCAACCCCAAGCCUGCACUGGAUACUGUCGAGCUCGAGUCCGGGAGGGGAGAGCGGAAUUCCUAGUGUAGCGGUGAAAUGCGCAGAUAUUAGGAAGAACGCCGGUGGCGAAGGCGGCUCUCUGGAACGGUACUGACGCUGAGGCACGAAAGCGUGGGGAGCAAACAGG
rnacentral:rRNA from 1 species